UGGCCGCCUCUGCUCGUUGACGUGACGCCAGCCUCACACCCAGCCCUGGGCAGGCUCCGGCGGAGAGCGCCAAGAAUCAGCCUGUCCCCGGGGCUGCGCGGGUUGCACUCUCUGCUCACGGCCCCCGUCCCUCCAGCCAGCUCUCUUCCGGCUUCGUGUCCUGGGCCGGCCUGAAAGACGGGAGCAUGGGACACACACGCUCACCGGAACUCACGGCACGCGUCCCUGCGCAGCCCCGCUGCUCUCUACUCCCUCUGGCCAAGCUCGCCCUGGACCUCGGAGCCGCCCAACCUCAGUCCAACUCCUCCUCCCUGCUCUCCCGGUGUAGGCGCUGCUUCUGCUUUCACCAUCUUCCCUCCCAAGGCGCGCAGCCCUGGAGCCGCAGGGCUGGGCGGAGAGAGGGCGCUGUGACCAGGUCCUGGCCCCCGAGGAACUCCUUCCCUCUGGCUCCCCCUGGCCCUGAUCUCUCCCCGGUCUGACUUGUUCCAGAAGUGGACCUCCUUAUCUGUUUUUCUUUCUUUGUUGGCUAAUGUUUUCAUCCCCCAAGCAGGGUUGGGCAAUCAAGUUCCAUGCAUAAUGAGCAGUUUAAAACCACGAAGGAGAAAGGGUGACAGACACAAGGAUUGUGGCAGACAGGCCCCGUGUGAGUAAACAGAUCCUUGACGCUAUCGGCAAUAUUGGGAAACUGGCUUAUGUCUGCAUCCUUGUGUAGACCUCUGACCUGUUUGAGUUCAGUUCUUGAAUAGGUUUAAAAGUGUAGCUCUAAGCCACUCUCUUCACCCUGAGGCAAAGGUCCUUUGACUAAAAGGACUUGAUCUCUGUAAUAAUGGGUGCCCAUUCUGGGUGAUAUUCUCUGAGCUGAGCUAAAAGACUAUCACACUAUUUAUUGCACUUCUUAAAGUCUUCUACCCCAUUUCCUUCUCAAUAGCCAGUGUAGCAGCAAUCCAAUUCAGGAUAAAACUUGCCACUGUCUAUGAUGCUGUGACAGUGUCCUUAUUUCAUGAUUAUUUUCCUAAGGAAAUAACCACUCCCUCCCAGAUAGGGUACCAACAACAAACUAAAGUAGGAUUCCACCGAAGUCAGUCUUGGACCAAAAGGUUUCUUGAGCUUGCUAUAAGUUACUUCCCACCCAGCAGCGCAGAAGAUCUGAAAGCAACCACACCUAAAAAUUUCACCGCAGCAUGAAUUCCCCGUUCUUUUGAUACCCUUCUAUAGUCGGCAUACUCUAGCACCUACUUAGGGGUGUCUGAGAGGUGCAAGAGGAAGUAGCUAGAAUCUCAAGUAAGGGUUCAAUGACCCUCCUGUCACUCUCCUUCCUGGAGGAAAGAUCCACAGUCAGCACAUCCUAUCUUGAGAGUCACAAGUAGUCACCACUGUUCUGAGGAACAUGAUUGCUGUUACGCUCAGAGAAUAGCACUCAACAAACAUCCCUUAGUAUACAACUGUGUGUGUGUCUGUGUGUCAGAGAAAGAGAGAGAGAGAGAGAGAGAGAGAGAGAGAGAGAGAGAGAGAGAGAGAUUUCCUCCACAUUAUCAAUUCUUUAAACCCCAAAAGUUCCCUUUCCCCCCCACCCCCAUUGAUCUAGAUGAUGUGUUAAUGUGACUUAAGAGUUCUGAUGGUUAAGGUUUUCAAUGGCAGACCAGAUACCCUCCGACUAUCAAAGGAACCGGUUAAUGCUGAUAUGGAUACAAAACAAUGACCGCUCACCAGACCUUGAGCGUUAGGGACAUUGUGUAUCAGAGAGCAGCUGCUCGGCUAAAAAAGGCUGUCAGCUGUUCCUGGAUGCAGCUAACCCUGUAAAGCUGACUACUGACUGGAAAACACUGUGCCCAACCUGCAGAGGUGGAGAUCCAGUGAUGCUCUGUGUUAUGCUGGGAGCUACGGGGGCCAUAUGAUUGUCUUCUUGUGCAGAAAAUGGAAUGGGCAUAAGUUGGUUGGAUGAGAAGUCAAGAGGGUGGUAACUGUUCUCUCGGGCAUUUGAGAUGGGGCGUGAGGUUGAGUCUAUCCCAGAAAAGUUCUAUAGCAAUUUCUGCAGAGUUGAUAACUUCUCUCUGAGAGAACCUUAAACUCCAAGUCCAGAACCUAAAGUCCUUAGAAGUUCUCUUCCAAUUGAUCCAAACAUUUUUAUCCAGACUUUGAGCUUGGCAUGAGAGAGGAGGGGAUAGGUGCACAUUAGA
rnacentral:lncRNA from 1 species